UACGUAGGUCGCAAGCGUUGUCCGGAUUUACUGGGCGUAAAGAGCGCGCAGGCGGCUGGUCAAGUCCGAUGUGAAAUCUCCCGGCUCAACUGGGAAACUGCAUCGGAAACUGAUCGGCUUGAAGAUGGGAGAGGGUAGUGGAAUUCCCGGUGUAGCGGUGAAAUGCGCAGAUAUCGGGAGGAACACCGGUGGCGAAGGCGGUUCUCUGGGACGGUACUGACGCUGAGACGCGAAAGCGUGGGGAGCGAACAGG
rnacentral:rRNA from 1 species